rnacentral:tRNA from 1 species
UCCUCUGUGGCGCAAUUGGCUAGCGCGUCUGACUGUUAUUCAUCGAAUGUCAUCAGGAGGUUGACAGUUCAAGCCUGUCCGGAGGAG